AACCGGAUUAGAUACCCUGCGUAGUCCACGCCGUAGACGAUGGAUACUAGCUGUUCGGAGCAAUCUGAGUGGCUAAGCGAAAGUGAUAAGUGUCCCACCUGGGGAGUACGUUCGCAAGAAUGAAACUCAAAGGAUCUCACAGAGGCCCGCACAAGCGGUGGAGCAUGUGGUUUAAUUCGAUGAUACGCGAGGAACCUUACCAAGGCUUAAAUGCGAUUGACCGGUUUGGAAACAGACUUUUCGCAAGACAAUUUACAAGGUGCUGCAUGGUUGUCGUCAGCUCGUGCCGUGAGGUGUCAGGUUAAGUCCUAUAACGAGCGCAACCCCUGUUGUUAGUUGCCAUCGAGUCAUGUCGGGAACUCUAACGAGACUGCCAGUGCAAACUGUGAGGAAGGUGGGGAUGACGUCAUAUCAUCACGGCCCUUACGCCUUGGGCUACACACGUGCUACAAUGGCCGGUACAGAGAGCAGCCACUU
rnacentral:rRNA from 1 species